ensembl:lncRNA
CAACUGGGCUUAAUUGGAGAUGCACAGUGAGGCUGCUGCAGACUGACACCUCUGAGGUCUGUGCGUUGAUGUGAAAACACGAGGGAGAGACAAAGCCGACGAGCCGUGAGGACGCGUGUUUGGGAGGGAGUGAGGUCUGAGGUCCUCCUGGUCUCAAGCAUCCAGUGCGUAAGAUGCUUACGUGUGGUUACAGAAAAGCCUGUAAUUUAUGUGCUCGUGUGAACCAGAAAUGAAUUCUGGGACUGCCGCAAGGAUUAACCCCGGGACGACCUCGGC